GAAUGCUGACAUAAGUAACGAUAAAGCGGGUGAAAAGCCCGCUCGCCGGAAGACCAAGGGUUCCUGUCCAACGUUAAUCGGGGCAGGGUGAGUCGACCCCUAAGGCGAGGCCGAAAGGCGUAGUCGAUGGGAAACAGGUUAAUAUUCCUGUACUUGGUGUUACUGCGAAGGGGGGACGGAGAAGGCUAUGUUGGCCGGGCGACGGUUGUCCCGGUUUAAGCGUGUAGGCUGGUUUUCCAGGCAAAUCCGGAAAAUCAAGGCUGAGGCGUGAUGACGAGGCACUACGGUGCUGAAGCGACAAAUGCCCUGCUUCCAGGAAAAGCCUCUAAGCAUCAGGUAACAUCAAAUCGUACCCCAAACCGACACAGGUGGUCAGGUAGAGAAUACCAAGGCGCUUGAGAGAACUCGGGUGAAGGAACUAGGCAAAAUGG
rnacentral:rRNA from 1 species